GCCCUUGCCGCUGCAGAGUUUGAUCCUGGCUCAGGACGAACGCUGGCGGCGUGCCUAACACAUGCAAGUCGAACGGAGAUGUCUUGAUAGCUUGCUUGAAAGACAUUUUAGUGGCGCACGGGUGAGUAACACGUGGGCAACCUGCCCGGGAGUCCGGGAUAACACUUCGAAAGGGGUGCUAAUACCGGAUACCUUCAAGAGGCCGCAUGGUCUUUUGAAGAAAGAUUUAUUGCUUCCGGAUGGGCCCGCGUCCCAUUAGCUAGUUGGUGAGGUAACGGCUCACCAAGGCGACGAUGGGUAGCUGGUCUGAGAGGACGAUCAGCCACACUGGAACUGAGACACGGUCCAGACUCCUACGGGAGGCAGCAGUGGGGAAUCUUGCGCAAUGGGCGAAAGCCUGACGCAGCAACGCCGCGUGAACGAUGAAGGCCUUCGGGUCGUAAAGUUCUGUCAGGGGGGACGAUAAUGACGGUACCCCCGGAGGAAGCCCCGGCUAACUACGUGCCAGCAGCCGCGGUAAUACGUAGGGGGCGAGCGUUGUCCGGAAUUACUGGGCGUAAAGGGCGUGUAGGCGGCCGAUCAAGUCAGGUGUGAAAUUUCAGGGCUCAACCCUGAACGUGCAUUUGAAACUGGUUGGCUUGAGUGCAGGAGAGGAAAGUGGAAUUCCCAGUGUAGCGGUGAAAUGCGUAGAUAUUGGGAGGAACACCAGUGGCGAAGGCGACUUUCUGGCCUGCAACUGACGCUGANGCGCGAAAGCUAGGGGAGCAAACAGGAUUAGAUACCCUGGUAGUCCUAGCCGUAAACGAUGGGUACUAGGUGUAGGGGGGUUUAGACGCCCUCUGUGCCGCAGUUAACACAUUAAGUACCCCGCCUGGGGAGUACGGCCGCAAGGCUGAAACUCAAAGGAAUUGA
rnacentral:rRNA from 1 species